rnacentral:rRNA from 1 species
UACAGAGGUCUCAAGCGUUGUUCGGAUUCAUUGGGCGUAAAGGGUGCGUAGGCGGCGCGGUAAGUCGGGUGUGAAAUCUUGGAGCUUAACUCCGAAACUGCAUUCGAUACUGCCGUGCUUGAGGACUGGAGAGGAGACUGGAAUUUACGGUGUAGCGGUGAAAUGCGUAGAUAUCGUAAGGAAGACCAGUGGCGAAGGCGGGGUCUCUGGACAGUUCCUGACGCUGAAGCACGAAGGCCCAGGGGGAGCAAAACGGG